rnacentral:lncRNA from 1 species
CUAACCCUAUUCUCAUUUCCAUUUCGACUGCCGCCCCUCAAAACCCCCUUUCUCACAAACUCUCUCUAACACUCAAAACCAUAGCCAUCUCUGACAUCUUCUCCGACCAGUUCUCACCGAAGUCCAUGGCUUCUCGGGCCAUGGACAGCCUGUGCUCACUUCCCUUCACCCCAAAUCGUGGCUAUUCAAGGCUUUCGGGGUUCAAAUUCAACGAGGCCUGUUCAAAUCCUCCGCCAAUUUGUGUUCAUGUGGCUUCUCAGGCUCUGUUCUGACAUGUUCGAGCCUCAAGAUCCUAGAUUUGGUCAAGACCUGUUCCAGGCCAGAUCCUUUCCAAG